UGGCAACAUAUUUCCAGUACUAUAAAAUUUAAAUGAAACUCAAAAGUUUAGCUUAGCCCCUGUGCAAGAAUGACAUACAAAUUGAUAAAGUAUUUUU
rnacentral:snRNA from 1 species